rnacentral:tRNA from 1 species
GCGGGUGUCGUAUAAUGGUAAUACCUCAGCCUUCCAAGCUGAUGCUGUCGGUCCGAUUCCGUCCACCCGCU